GCGCGCAAAUUACCCACUCCCGGCACGGGGAGGUAGUGACGAAAAAUAACGAUACGGGACUCUUCCGAGGCCCCGUGAUUGGAAUGAGUACACUUUAAAACCUUUAACGAGGACCCAUUGGAGGGCAAGUCUGGUG
rnacentral:rRNA from 1 species